GAUGAACGCUAGCGGCAGGCCUAAUACAUGCAAGUCGAACGAUACCAGAGAGCUUGCUUUCUGGGAAAGUGGCGCACGGGUGCGUAACGCGUAUGCAACCUACCUUAAUCAGGGGGAUAGCCUCUCGAAAGAGAGAUUAACACCGCAUAAAAUCACACUUCGGCAUCGAAGAAUGAUCAAAUAUUUAUAGGAUUAAGAUGGGCAUGCGUGACAUUAGCUAGUUGGUAAGGUAACGGCUUACCAAGGCUACGAUGUCUAGGGGAUCUGAGAGGAUGACCCCCCACACUGGUACUGAGACACGGACCAGACUCCUACGGGAGGCAGCAGUAAGGAAUAUUGGUCAAUGGGGGCAACCCUGAACCAGCCAUGCCGCGUGCAGGAAGACGGCCCUACGGGUUGUAAACUGCUUUUAUACGGGAAUAAAUCUCGCUACGUGUAGUGAGUUGAAUGUACUGUAAGAAUAAGGAUCGGCUAACUCCGUGCCAGCAGACG
rnacentral:rRNA from 1 species